ensembl:snoRNA Gm22660 small nucleolar RNA SNORA17
CCUGCCCCUAGAGGUGUUGCAGGUGUGGCUGCUGUGUCCCAUGUGCGUCAGUAGGUGGCAGAGAGGAGAGAGGCUAUGUCUAUGCUCAGUGUUCUGACCAAUGACUUCUGAAUGAUUGGCAGCCUAACACU